rnacentral:rRNA from 2 species
GCUCAGGACGAACGCUGGCGGCGUGCCUAAUACAUGCAAGUCGAGCGGACAGAUGGGAGCUUGCUCCCUGAUGUUAGCGGCGGACGGGUGAGUAACACGUGGGUAACCUGCCUGUAAGACUGGGAUAACUCCGGGAAACCGGGGCUAAUACCGGAUGCUUGAUUGAACCGCCUGGUUCAAUUAUAAAAGGUGGCUUUUAGCUACCACUUACAGAUGGACCCGCGGCGCAUUAGCUAGUUGGUGAGGUAACGGCUCACCAAGGCAACGAUGCGUAGCCGACCUGAGAGGGUGAUCGGCCACACUGGGACUGAGACACGGCCCAGACUCCUACGGGAGGCAGCAGUAGGGAAUCUUCCGCAAUGGACGAAAGUCUGACGGAGCAACGCCGCGUGAGUGAUGAAGGUUUUCGGAUCGUAAAACUCUGUUGUUAGGGAAGAACAAGUACCGUUCGAAUAGGGCGGUACCUUGACGGUACCUAACCAGAAAGCCACGGCUAACUACGUGCCAGCAGCCGCGGUAAUACGUAGGUGGCAAGCGUUGUCCGGAAUUAUUGGGCGUAAAGCGCGCGCAGGCGGUUUCUUAAGUCUGAUGUGAAAGCCCCCGGCUCAACCGGGGAGGGUCAUUGGAAACUGGGGAACUUGAGUGCAGAAGAGGAGAGUGGAAUUCCACGUGUAGCGGUGAAAUGCGUAGAGAUGUGGAGGAACACCAGUGGCGAAGGCGACUCUCUGGUCUGUAACUGACGCUGAGGCGCGAAAGCGUGGGGAGCGAACAGGAUUAGAUACCCUGGUAGUCCACGCCGUAAACGAUGAGUGCUAAGUGUUAGAGGGUUUCCGCCCUUUAGUGCUGCAGCAAACGCAUUAAGCACUCCGCCUGGGGAGUACGGUCGCAAGACUGAAACUCAAAGGAAUUGACGGGGGCCCGCACAAGCGGUGGAGCAUGUGGUUUAAUUCGAAGCAACGCGAAGAACCUUACCAGGUCUUGACAUCCUCUGACAACCCUAGAGAUAGGGCUUCCCCUUCGGGGGCAGAGUGACAGGUGGUGCAUGGUUGUCGUCAGCUCGUGUCGUGAGAUGUUGGGUUAAGUCCCGCAACGAGCGCAACCCUUGAUCUUAGUUGCCAGCAUUCAGUUGGGCACUCUAAGGUGACUGCCGGUGACAAACCGGAGGAAGGUGGGGAUGACGUCAAAUCAUCAUGCCCCUUAUGACCUGGGCUACACACGUGCUACAAUGGACAGAACAAAGGGCAGCGAAGCCGCGAGGCUAAGCCAAUCCCACAAAUCUG